CUGCGCGCAAAUUCAUGAUUGAUGAUUCGCGACGGAUACUUCUUGUGUUUCUCUCAUGAAGAAAGUGUUCAAACUGUUUCGCAGCCGAGUGUAGCUGACGCGACCUUUUCUGUUUGUCUGAUAUCUCGCUUUUGGAUACUUUGAAUAUCGCAGCUACUAAUAAUCUCAAAUAGUCGUUCGUCGAUCUUAUAAAGUGCACAUAGAAUCUUUGAAAGGUACUAAUAAUAAGUCGAAUCACGAAGAAAAACAAAGUUGAACGGUGUGGUUAUACAAACAGAUUAUUGUGCCGAGCAAGUUGUAAGAGGGUAAAAUCUACAUAAGGAGAGAAUCGAUAGAAAGAAAACGGAACAACUUUGAAGAGCGAUCCGUGCGGUACACUUAAGAAAACUUCAGUUACAGUAAUUUCACAAAGCACCUCAUUGAGGACAUGGAAUGUUGGAUAAAGGUAUGGGACCAUGACAACUAUAAAACCAACGAUGAG